rnacentral:rRNA from 1 species
GUGGCAUACGGCUCAGUAACACGUAGUCAACAUGCCCAGGGGACGUGGAUAACCUCGGGAAACUGAGGAUAAACCGCGAUAGGUCAUCACUUCUGGAAUGGGUAAUGACUUAAACCUAUAUGGCCCCUGGAUUGGACUGCGGCCGAUCAGGCUGUUGGUGAGGUAAUGGCCCACCAAACCUGUAACCGGUACGGGCUCUGAGAGGAGGAGCCCGGAGAUGGGCACUGAGACAAGGGCCCAGGCCCUAUGGGGCGCAGCAGGCGCGAAACCUCUGCAAUAGGCGAAAGCUUGACAGGGUUACUCUGAGUGAUUUCCGUUAAGGAGAUCUUUUGGCACCUCUAAAAAUGGUGCAGAAUAAGGGGUGGGCAAGUCUGGUGUCAGCCGCCGCGGUAAUACCAGCACCCCGAGUGGUCGGGACGUUUAUUGGGCCUAAAGCAUCCGUAGCCGGUUCUACAAGUCUUCCGUUAAAUCCACCUGCUUAACAGAUGGGCUGCGGAAGAUACUAUAGAGCUAGGAGGCGGGAGAGGCAAGCGGUACUCGAUGGGUAGGGGUAAAAUCCGUUGAUCCAUUGAAGACCACCAGUGGCGAAGGCGGCUUGCCAGAACGCGCUCGACGGUGAGGGAUGAAAGCUGGGGGAGCAAACCGGAUUAGAUACCCGGGUAGUCCCAGCUGUAAACGA